rnacentral:rRNA from 1 species
UACGGAGGGGGCUAGCGUUGUUCGGAAUUACUGUGCGUAAAGCGCGCGUAGGCGGACCUGCAAGUCGGGGGUGAAAGCCCGAGGCUCAACCUCGGAACUGCCUUCGAUACUGCGGGUCUCGAGUCCGGGAGAGGUGAGUGGAAUUCCUAGUGUAGAGGUGAAAUUCGUAGAUAUUAGGAAGAACACCAGUGGCGAAGGCGGCUCACUGGCCCGGUACUGACGCUGAGGCGCGAAAGCGUGGGGAGCAAACAGG